AGUUCAUGAUGUGGGCAUUAUCUAAGCAUAUUUUUGAAUCUAUCCUAUGCUUCAAAUAAUGAUUCUGCAUUUGACUGUCUAAAGCUUGAUAUAAGAUUCCUCAUAU